rnacentral:rRNA from 1 species
AACUACAUUCAUUAGCGGAGGAAAAGAAACCACCCGGGAUUGCCCUAGUAACGGCGAGUGAAGCGGCAGCAGCCCAAAUUUGAAAUCUGGCUCCUUCUCGGGGCUCGAGUUGUAAUUUGGAGAGGAUGCCUCGGUGGGGCCGCCAGUCGAAGUCCCUUGGAACGGGGCGUCACAGAGGGUGAGAAUCCCGUCCGUGGCCGGCGGCCUCCACCGUGCGAGGCUCCCUCGACGAGUCGAGUUGUUUGGGAAUGCAGCUCUAAGCGGGAGGUGAAUUCCUUCUAAGGCUAAACAUCCGCCAGAGACCGAUAGCGCACAAGUAGAGUGAUCGAAAGGUGAAAAGCACUUUGAAAAGAGGGUGACACAGCACGUGAAAUUGUUGAAAGGGAAGCGCUUGCAGCCAGAGUGGGCCCCGGGGGCUCCGCCCGUCCUCGGACGGGCGUCCUCCCCUGGGGUCCGGCCAGCAUCAGCUCGGCCGGCCGGACAAAGGCCGUGGGAAUGUGGCACCUCCGGGUGUGUUAUAGCCCGCGGCACAAUGCGGCCUGGCUGGGCUGAGGCCAGCGCCUUCGGGCACGGAUGCUGGCGUAAUGGCUGUCAGCGGCCCGUCUUGAAACACGGACCAAGGAGUCUAACAUCCAUGCGAGUGUUCGGGUGUCAGGCCCGCGCGCGCAAUGAAAGUGAACGGAGGUGGGAGCCCUCGGGCGCACCAUCGACCGAUCCUGAUGUCCUCGGAUGGAUUUGAGUAGGAGCAUGGCUGUUGGGACCCGAAAGAUGGUGAACUUUGCGUGACUAGGGUGAAGCCAGAGGAAACUCUGGUGGAGGCUCGCAGCGGUUCUGACGUGCAAAUCGAUCGUCAAAGUGGCGCAAAGGGGCGAAAGACAAUCGAACAUCUAAUACUGUCUCGAGAC